AAUCAACGCUGGCGGCGUGCCUCAGACAUGCAAGUCGAACGAUUAAGACUUCCUUCGGGAAGUGUAUAAAGUGGCGCACGGGUGAGUAACACGUAAGUAAUCUACCUUCGAGUGGGGAAUAACAUCGGGAAACCGAUGCUAAUACCGCAUAAUGCAGCGGCAUCGCAAGAUGACAGUUGUUAAAGGGGCAAUUCGCUUGAAGAGGAGCUUGCGGCAGAUUAGCUAGUUGGUAAGGUAAUGGCUUACCAAGGCUACGAUCUGUAUCCGGUCUAAGAGGACGGUCGGACACACUGACACUGAAUAACGGGUCAGACUCCUACGGGAGGCAGCAGUGGGGAAUCUUGCGCAAUGGGCGAAAGCCUGACGCAGCCAUGCCGCGUGGAUGAUGAAGGUCUUAGGAUUGUAAAAUCCUUUCACCGGUGAAGAUAAUGACUGUAGCCGGAGAAGAAGCCCCGGCUAACUUCGUGCCAGCCGCCGCUGUAACAC
rnacentral:rRNA from 1 species